CCAAAGGAGCUUAAAGAAGUAAUGAACAUGCUAUAAGAAGGCUUCAGUUCGAGUAGCUCUAACUAACCCUUUGCUUUCAUUAUUAAGAGAAACCACUUGUAUUGUAGAAGUCCCAUUCAAGAAUCUAGGCACUAUGCAAACACACUGGGGGGGGUGGGGGGGAAAAUCAGUUGUCCCAAACAGCCCACAUCCUAAAUAGGCAAGCUAGUAGAGGAUGGGUGCAAACAAGCUCCCCGCCGUUACAGAGGAAGGAACAAGGCACAAGAGACUGACUGCAUGGUCCAGAGUUACAGGGAGCCCCACUCCCUCCUCUACAUGAAAAGACGCUGUUGAUCAAACCCCUUCCAAAGCCUGGCGUAUGGUCCUUUGUACUGAGCAAAUUAUGAUGCAUGCAGCAAACCCACUGGCCUUAUCUCCAAAGUGGAAUGAGAAUUAACUCAUUAUGAAAUCAGACUCCAUAUGUAUCCACAGAUGAGCUAGCCACUGCAACAAGUAAAACCGAAGGCAGUACCUAC